rnacentral:tRNA from 1 species
GGGGAUGUAGCUCAGAUGGUAGAGCGCUUGCUUAGCAUGUGAGAGGUACAGGAUCUAUACCUACAUCUCCA